GGGUUAGUAACGCGUGGGAACGUACCCUUUUCUAAGGAAUAGCCACUGGAAACGGUGAGUAAUACCUUAUACGCCCUUCGGGGGAAAGAUUUAUCGGAGAAGGAUCGGCCCGCGUUAGAUUAGAUAGUUGGUGGGGUAAUGGCCUACCAAGUCUACGAUCUAUAGCUGGUUUGAGAGGAUGAUCAGCAACACUGGGACUGAGACACGGCCCAGACUCCUACGGGAGGCAGCAGUGGGGAAUCUUGGACAAUGGGCGCAAGCCUGAUCCAGCCAUGCCGCGUGAGUGAUGAAGGCCUUAGGGUCGUAAAGCUCUUUCGCCUGUGAAGAUAAUGACGGUAGCAGGUAAAGAAACCCCGGCUAACUCCGUGCCAGCAGCCGCGGUAAUACGGAGGGGGUUAGCGUUGUUCGGAAUUACUGGGCGUAAAGCGCGCGUAGGCGGACUAUUAAGUCAGGGGUGAAAUCCCGGGGCUCAACCCCGGAACUGCCUUUGAUACUGGUAGUCUUGAGUUCGAGAGAGGUGAGUGGAAUUCCGAGUGUAGAGGUGAAAUUCGUAGAUAUUCGGAGGAACACCAGUGGCGAAGGCGGCUCACUGGCUCGAUACUGACGCUGAGGUGCGAAAGUGUGGGGAGCAAACAGGAUUAGAUACCC
rnacentral:rRNA from 1 species